GAGAAUCUGUACGUCUCUAAUUUACUUGAUGUUGAUAUUCCACGUGGAUAACUGUGGUAAUUCUGGAGCUAAUACAUGCACCAAAGCUCCGAUCUCAUGACGAGCGCAUCUAUUAGACCAAAAACCAGUCGAGAAUAUUCGCCUCAAAACGAAUGCCUCGUAAAUUUGGUGACUCUGAAUAGCUUAGCUGAUCGCAUGGUCUCGCACCGGCGACGUAUCUUUCAAGUGUCUGCCUUAUCAACUUUCGAUGGUAGUUUAUAUGCCUACCAUGGUUGUAACGGGUAACGGAGAAUAAGGGUUCGACUCCGGAGAGGGAGCCUGAGAAACGGCUACCACAUCCAAGGAAGGCAGCAGGCGCGCAAAUUACCCACUCUCAGCACGAGGAGGUAGUGACGAAAAAUAACGAGACCGUUCUCUUCGAGGCCGGUUAUCGGAAUGAGUACAAUUUAAAGCCGUUAACGAGGAUCUAUGAGAGGGCAAGUCUGGUGCCAGCAGCCGCGGUAAUUCCAGCUCUCAAAGUGUAUAUCGUCAUUGCUGCGGUUAAAAAGCUCGUAGUUGGAUUUAAGCUCGAUGACUCGGUCCAUCCAUAGGAUGAGAACUGAGCUCAUCGGCUAUCAUCGGCUGGGUUUUGUCUAGGUUGGCUUUAAACGGUGGCCUAGGCUGGGCUAGCCAAGUUAACUUUGAAAAAAAUAAGAGGCUUCAACCGCGGGCUUAAUGCCUGAAUAGUCGUGGCAUGGAAAUAAUGGGAAUAGGGAUUUCCGGUUCUAUUUUGGUGGGUUUUUUUAAACCGAAAUAAUGGGUUAGAAGGGACAGAACGGGGGGCAUUCGCUAUCGGCUACGUGAGAAGGUGGAAAUUCUGGGACCGGAGACGAAGACCCCCGGACCGGCAAAGCAUUGGCCAGAAUGUCCUCCUAAAUCAAGAACGAAAGGUCAGAGGGUCGAAGGCAUCAAAGCCGCCCUAGUCUGACCGUAAACGAUACCACUAGCCGUUCGCCGGCGUAUACGCUGACGGUCAGCUGCAGGAACGAGGAUCGUCUGGGAAGUUCGUGCAAGCUGAACUAGAUGACGACGACCGACAGAGUGAGCUGCGCUAUCGACACCAGCAACUCACUGACGAUCGUGAUGACGAUGAGCCUCUGUCUGCGUGCUGCACGCCUUAGUGAGGUAAAGAUCCGUACGCCACGCAGCGGACCUUCGCU
rnacentral:rRNA from 1 species